ACUAUGAGUUAAAGCCUGAAUUUGAAGCUAUUUAACAACGUAAACGUGUGAUAUUUACUCCAUUAGAUGUUGGCAGUUCAUUUUGCCAAAGGCAGGAUGAUAUUUCUGAAAUGCAGGGUGGCACAGACCACAAACUAUAAGGAACUGGCACGUCAGUCACAUUUUGUGACUCAGGAGUCACCGAUGAAGGAGAAACCAGUAACCUUUCACACCACACACCUCGUCUUUAGACCUGUCUCCUAUUCACUAUGUAUUUAGCACAUCAACUGAGGACUACAUCAAUCAUUUUGUGCCAGUGAAAAUUAACUGAAAGGUCAAGAUGUCCGUGAUCAGUGAGGAGGAGAAUCAGCUUCGACCAUGUUGUCUGAUGCACACGGUGGCAUGAUCUGAUAAAACUCCAAGCCUGGAUCUUGGCAUGGGAGUGUGGGUCAUACAAGGACAGCCCAGAAUAGGAAAAACAGCCCGGACAGAGCCUGCAGCAAAGCACUAAGAGUGGCAGGAAUCCAGCAUAAACCUCUAUUGGUACACUGGCCACUGGAGAAUCAUUGAAUACACACGUCUCAGACAACAAUGAGGCCAUGAUGACGCAGUGGAACAAGUGCAGGCACGUGGAGCCAUUUGACGAACCGUGGAAACCAACACGACACCAGCACAUGAAGAAGAGAAAUGAAAUGACAGAGCCUCCACGGGAGGUUGAUAUUUAUACAUACACACACCUGCUUGAUUGAUUGAUGAUUGGCAUGCUUCACAUAUUGCACACAUAGGGAUAUACUGGCUUGAAAUAGCUGUCUGUUAACUCCCUCAGUACAAAAGUAGAUGAGAUUCUUGAUCUGCUGCUUAAUGAUGUGGGGAAGAGUUGUUGAAGUUCAUCAGUAAUGAAGUACCAGUUAGCUACCUGCAGACUGCCAUGUUCACUGCACAUCUGUUAUUGCUAACGUGCUAUUGUUGUCAGAGCUUGUUUAGUCUGAACCUGGCUACCAUUCAUCACAGCAACCACAGGUACAGGAGACCCCUACUAUUUCUGGGUUGUGGACAUAUAUCAUAGCAUACUAUACGUUCAAGAUUCAAAUAUUUUACUUGUCACAUGCUCAUGCAAUACUCGCAGUAAAAUGCAUGUCGUACUCUUGAGGCUGUGCUACAAAGCCUAGUGUGCAAUAGAAUAAUAUCAAAAAGAAUAAAAGUAAGAAUAAAACUAAGAAAGACACAUAAAGGAUAACAUUUCAAAGAUAGAAAAAUUAUAAAUAUAUGUAAAAUAAGUAUUGAAAUGCUAGAGUGUAUAUGGACCCAGGGCGUUUGCAAUGUAAAAAUGGAAAAUUUACAUAUGUCACAGCUGUAAGGAAAGUUAAAAAUUGGUCUUUUUUUUGUUAUACUGUAAUAUUAAAUCACUGACAGAAUGGGUAAUGAUACUGGUAUAAUGAUGCAGGUGCACAAUAGAAAGCAUAAAGUUCAAGAAACCUGUUACAAAACAGUAUGUUGAUUCAGCUGCUUAAAAUGACAAAAUGACCAUUUUAACACACUAUUCCAGAACAAUGUUUAUUAAUUAUCUAUUUAUACCACUUAUUUGAGGCAUUGUUUGAUGCAAAGUUAUGAUUUAUGUAAUAAUUUAUUAUAGUGUGACCUUUCUUUUCCAUUACUCUAGCCUCUCUCCUUUUGUUGUACUCAUUUUCUGGUC